GACGAACGCUGGCGGCGUGCCUAAUACAUGCAAGUAGAACGCUGAAGGAGGAGCUUGCUUCUCUGGAUGAGUUGCGAACGGGUGAGUAACGCGUAGGUAACCUGCCUGGUAGCGGGGGAUAACUAUUGGAAACGAUAGCUAAUACCGCAUAAUAGUAGAUGUCGCAUGACAUUUGCUUAAAAGGUGCAAUUGCAUCACUACCAGUUGGACCUGCGUUGUAUUAGCUAGUUGGUGAGGUAACGGCUCACCAAGGCAACGAUACAUAGCCGACCUGAGAGGGUGAUCGGCCACACUGGGACUGAGACACGGCCCAGACUCCUACGGGAGGCAGCAGUAGGGAAUCUUCGGCAAUGGACGGAAGUCUGACCGAGCAACGCCGCGUGAGUGAAGAAGGUUUUCGGAUCGUAAAGCUCUGUUGUAAGAGAAGAACGAGUGUGAGAGUGGAAAGUUCACACUGUGUCGGUAUCUUACCAGAAAGGGACGGCUAACUACGUG
rnacentral:rRNA from 1 species